AUGGAGGCACUGACUGGGGCACCUGCGGCGGAGAGAGAGAGAGAUGUCGUGGUCGUCCAGUGCUGGGUCCGCUCCUGGAUUCCGUCGAGCUGCAGGAAGGAGGGGGAGGAGUCGCGCUCACUGGUGCGCUACCGCGAGAACCCAAUGGCGUACGAGCCUCCAGUGAUGUGCCACUGCUCAACUCCGAGGAAGGCGCCAAGAUGGAUCUCCUGGAGCAGGUUGAACCCUGGUAGAAGGUACUACAGCUGCGUGGAUGCUCUGGUGAGUGUGGUUUCUGCCUAA
rnacentral:rRNA from 1 species